rnacentral:misc_RNA from 1 species
GAUGAAGAACGUAGUGAAAUGUGAUAAGUAGUGUGAAUUGCAGAAUUCAGUGAAUCAUCGAAUCUUUGAACGCACAUUGCGCCCUUUGGUAUUCCAAAGGGCAUGCCUGUUCGAGCGUCAUUUGUACCCUCAAGCUUUGCUUGGUGUUGGGCGUCUUGUCUCUAGCUUUGCUGGAGACUCGCCUUAAAGUAAUUGGCAGCCGGCCUACUGGUUUCGGAGCGCAGCACAAGUCGCACUCUCUAUCAGCAAAGGUCUAGCAUCCACUAAGCCUUUUUUUCAACUUUUGACCUCGGAUCAGGUAGGGAUACCCGCUGAACUUAAGCAUAUCAAUAAGCGGAGGA